CGGGGGUCCUCCUUCCUGCCCCUUGGCUCACCUUCCCCCAUCCACGCACCAGGAGCGGAGAGCCCGGAACUAAGAACUGUAGACCCAGAGAGGUGAGACUGGCCCCAAGCACCUGGGUCCUCAAGAAGAGUCACCGUUUCCGUGCCAGGAGGAUCCAAGGUGGGGAAACUGAGGCUGAGAGAGAAGGACGUUGACCAAGGUCACAGGGCAGGAGCAGCAGCCUUGUCUCAGGGUCUGGGGAGAAGGGGCUCAGUGAGAGAUGCUAGCCCCAGCCAAGCGGGGUUGGGUCAGCCUGGGCCCAGCACUUCCUGGGCCCUGCUCUGGAGGGAGCUCCUAGAAACAUCUAUAACCUGCGGAGGAGCCAGGAAGGACACCAGCUGUCUGUCUGUCUCCCCAGACCUCUCCGGGCUAGCUGGUUGCCCACUGGGACCUGGGCCUGGAGGUGAGAGAGGCCCCAGAAAAGCUCCCACCCCACUCCAAAGCUCUCCUUGCCCACCUGUCCCAUCUUCUGACCUUCCACCGCUAGAGCUGAAUGCCUUGAGCUUCCCCAGUGUUUUUGAUGGAGCAGAGACUUGAGGAAGUAAGAACCCAGCACCAAGAGCCAGGCAGACUGGGGCUUCUGCAUCCACCAUCUCCUCACCAUGGAACUACAGUCAGGUCCCUUAACCGGCCAUAGCCUCAGUUUCCCUGCCUGUUAAGGUGGCAGUGCCACAUCCCAGGCAGCGGUGAGGAUGAAGUGACAUAAUGUAGGAAAGGUGCCGGGCAUCACCUCCCUGAAACUCUUGGGAGUUUCC
rnacentral:lncRNA from 1 species